AACGUAGGAGGCGAGCGUUAUCCGGAUUUACUGGGUGUAAAGCGCGUGCAGGCGGAACCUCAAGUCACGUGUGAAAGCGCCCGGCUCAACCGGGCGAGGACGGGUGAAACUGAGGAACUGGAGGCCGGUAGAGGUGUGUGGAAUUCCGGGUGUAGUGGUGAAAUGCGUAGAGAUCCGGAGGAACACCAGUGGCGAAGGCGACACACUGGACCGAGCCUGACGCUCAGACGCGACAGCAUGGGGAGCGAACGGG
rnacentral:rRNA from 1 species